GAUGAACGCUGACGGUGUGCCUAAUACAUGCAAGUCGAGCGAACAGACGAGGAGCUUACUCCUCUGACGUUAGCGGCGGACGGGUGAGUAACACGUGGAUAACCUACCUAUAAGACUGGGAUAACUUCGGGAAACCGGAGCUAAUACCGGAUAACAUGUUGAACCGCAUGGUUCAACAGUGAAAGACGGUCUUGCUGUCACUUAUAGAUGGAUCCGCGUCGCAUUAGCUAGUUGGUAAGGUAACGGCUUACCAAGGCAACGAUGCGUAGCCGACCUGAGAGGGUGAUCGGCCACACUGGAACUGAGACACGGUCCAGACUCCUACGGGAGGCAGCAGUAGGGAAUCUUCCGCAAUGGGCGAAAGCCUGACGGAGCAACGCCGCGUGAGUGAAGAAGGUCUUCGGAUCGUAAAACUCUGUUAUUAGGGAAGAACAAAUGUGUAAGUAACUAUGCACGUCUUGACGGUACCUAAUCAGAAAGCCACGGCUAACUACGUG
rnacentral:rRNA from 1 species